GAUGAACGCUAGCGGCAGGCCUAACACAUGCAAGUCGAGGGGUAUAAAAGAGCUUGCUUUUUUAGAGACCGGCAAACGGGUGCGGAACACGUACGCAAUCUGCCCUUAUCACGGGGAUAGCCCAGAGAAAUUUGGAUUAAUACCCGAUAGUAUUAUAAUAAGGCAUCUUGUUGUAAUUAAAGCUAUGGCGGAUAAGGAUGAGCGUGCGCAAGAUUAGCUAGUUGGUGAGGUAACGGCUCACCAAGGCGACGAUCUUUAGCUGAUGUGAGAGCAUGAUCAGCCACACGGGCACUGAGACACGGGCCCGACUCCUACGGGAGGCAGCAGUGAGGAAUAUUUGGGUCAAUGGACGGAAGUCUGAACCAGCCAUGCCGCGUGAAGGAUGAAGGC
rnacentral:rRNA from 1 species